rnacentral:rRNA from 1 species
AGCGCAGGCGGAUAGGUAAGUCUGAAGUGGAAUCCCGGGGCUCAACCUCGGAAGGCCUUCGGAUACUGCCUGUCUUGAGUUCGUGAGAGGAAAGCGGAAUUCAGGGUGUAGCGGUGAAAUGCUUAGAUAUCCUGAGGAACACCAAUGGCGAAAGCAGCUUUCUGGCGCGAAACUGACGCUGAGGCUCGAAAGCGUGGUAGCAACG